rnacentral:rRNA from 1 species
UACGUAGGGACCAAGCGUUGUUCGGAUUUACUGGGCGUAAAGGGCGCGUAGGCGGGCGCGACAAGUCACUUGUGAAAUCUCCGGGCUUAACCCGGAACGGCCAAGUGAAACUGUCGUGCUAGAGUGCGGAAGGGGCAAUCGGAAUUCUCGGUGUAGCGGUGAAAUGCGUAGAUAUCGAGAGGAACACCUGAGGUGAAGACGGGUUGCUGGGCCGACACUGACGCUGAGUGCGCGAAAGCCAGGGGAGCGAACGGG